rnacentral:rRNA from 1 species
AUGCUUCCCUCCCUCGUGCAACUGGAGCACGGGAUCAGCGACACCGAUGACCUGAGGCAGAGGGCGGUGUGCUCCGAGAGGUGCAGGACGAGAGACGGCGAGGAGGAGGAUAGCAAGAGGCUGGUCUCUGAGGUCGACGCUGAGAUAGAAGAGGAGUGUGGGCUGUGCUGCAUCCACGACAUGUGCAUCGAGUGCUACCGCCAAUGCAUGCUAUAUUCCAAGUCGGUGGAGGCAUCAUCAUCUGAUCGAGUACGGAGACAAGCUAUUGCCAGUAAUUCUGAGUCAUCUGGGAUACAGCCAAGACCGACGUCGUUGUUGUUGUUGUUGUUGUUGUUGUUUAGACAUUGUCGCGCGUUAAUGGACUACCGGUCAUGA